rnacentral:rRNA from 1 species
AGCGAACGCUGGCGGCAUGCCUAACACAUGCAAGUCGAACGAGACCUUCGGGUCUAGUGGCGCACGGCUGCGUAACGCGUGGGAACCUGCCCUUAGGUUCGGAAUAACUCCCCGAAAGGGGUGCUAAUACCGGAUAAUGUCUUCGGACCAAAGAUUUAUCGCCUUUGGAUGUGCCCGCGUUGGAUUAGCUAGUUGGUAGGGUAAAAGCCUACAAAGGCGACGAUCCAUAGCUGGUCUGAGAGGAUGAUCAGCCACACUGGGACUGAGACACGGCCCAGACUCCUACGGGAGGCAGCAGUGGGGAAGAUGGGACAAUGGGCGAAAGCCUGAGCCAGCAAGGCCGCGUGAGUGAUGAAGGCGUUAGGGUUGUAAAGCUCUUUUACCCGGGAUGAUAAUGACAGUACCGGGAGAAUAAGCUCCGGCUAACUCCGU